AGAGGCUCGGCAUCCUUGUGCCUUACUUGAUCCUGGAUGUAGCAACAUUGCUGGAUAGCUUAGCGGUUUAAGAUUCAAUUUUGUUUGGACCACACGGCUGCCCUUUACUUAAAUGAAUAGGAUGGGCCUCUCAAACUAGUUCAGCUCAUACUCUGCUGAGUUUCAUGGUGACGCACGCAGGGACCGACCUCAUUUCACUUUCACCAUACCUGCAAAAGCUCCAACACAGAGAGGCCAGGCUAUAAAGCUUCUCUGGGAUGCCCAGGUCUUCAUAGCUCCUCUGUCCUAGGAGGGAGAGAUCCUGGCCAUCCAUACAGCAGAUGCAUCAAUGGGGGCAAUACCUGGUGGACACAGGAAGACUUUAUGGCAUGUGAGGACAUUCACUGGUUUCCUUCUGUUACAUUUCAUCAUACAACAUUUGUAUCAACCAUCUCUAGACCAGUGUUUCAAACAAUCCUAGCCAGAACUCCAAUCAGCCGGAGUUGUGAUGAAGACAGAAAGCCACGUGGUGCCUUAGAAGGCAUAUCAUCUCUAGAGCAGUGGUUCCCAACAUUGGGUCCUAGGUGUUCUUAGACUACAUUUCCCAGAAACCCUUGCCAGCACAGCUAAUGGUGAAAGCAUCUGGGAGUUUUUGCCGCAUUACUCAUAAUAUAUUAUCUCUUGCAGCACAUGUUACUUUUAUUAAAUUUCAUUCCUUUGUUGUAUUUAUUUGGGGGGCAAUUUAUAAGACAAUGAAAUCAACUCGAAACAUUGUGUCACAGCACUGAAAAUGACCUUUAAAAAUAAACAUCUUUUGUUUCUGUAUUUUGUCAUAUAA